CAUCACCGGAUCCCAUAUGAUCACCAAAGUUAAGCAAUGUUGAGCCUGAUCAGUACUUAAAUGGGUGACUGCUUGAGAAUACCGGGUGCU